ACUUCUUACAUACAAGGAUGUGUUUGGUCAUCCUAGUAGCAUUUGGCAAUGCAUAUUUCAUUUGACAUAUUUGCAAAUCACAUUUUUUUUCUCAGAAUAACUUGCAGUGUGGAAAUGUUUCCAUAUGCUAGAAGUUGCUUACACCAUUUUGCUGAGGGAGAAAAAAGAAAAAUGUAAUUUAGUGGCCAGCUUGCAUAUAUAAGCACUAAGCUACAGCAUGUACAAAUUUAGUAAUGGAUGGAGGAGAGGCCUCCUCAGAGUUAACUGUAAACAACUGUCCUGCCCUGCAGGCCUUGCUUUACUGCUCAGGUUGGGUGAUUUGUCACAAAACAUCAGAUUUGUAGGAGUUCAAUUAUGAAUUACAUAGGUUAUGAAAAUACACAAAUGCAGCUAAAAUAUAGUUUAAUAUACUGAAUUCAGAGAAAUUUAAACUCUUACCUUUCAAUAAAGAAGUAUAUUUUCUUUCA